rnacentral:rRNA from 1 species
GAUGAACGCUGGCGGCGUGCCUAAUACAUGCAAGUCGAGCGAACGGACGAGAAGCUUGCUUCUCUGAUGUUAGCGGCGGACGGGUGAGUAACACGUGGAUAACCUACCUAUAAGACUGGGAUAACUUCGGGAAACCGGAGCUAAUACCGGAUAAUAUUUUGAACCGCAUGGUUCAAAAGUGAAAGACGGUCUUGCUGUCACUUAUAGAUGGAUCCGCGCUGCAUUAGCUAGUUGGUAAGGUAACGGCUUACCAAGGCAACGAUGCAUAGCCGACCUGAGAGGGUGAUCGGCCACACUGGAACUGCGACACGGUCCAGACUCCUACGGGAGGCAGCAGGGAAUCUUCCGCAAUGGGCAAAAGCCUGACGGAGCAAAGCCGCGUGAGUGAUGAAGGUCUUCGGAUCGUAAAACUCUGUUAUUAGGGAAGAACAUAUGUGUAAGUAACUGUGCACAUCUUGACGGUACCUAAUCAGAAAGCCACGGCUAACUACGUG